GAAAUGCGAUAAGUAGUGUGAAUUGCAGAAUUCAGUGAAUCAUCGAAUCUUUGAACGCACAUUGCGCCCCUUGGUAUUCCAUGGGGCAUGCCUGUUCGAGCGUCAUUUGUACCCUCAAGCUCUGCUUGUGUGAUGGGCCCCGGCGUCUCGUUCGCGAGACGGGCCCGAAAGGCAGCGGCGGCGUCGACCCGAUGAGCCCGAGCGUAUGGGGACUUCUGUCACACGUUCGCGGUGCGGACCGGCGCCUGCUUGACUUUUCUGAUUAUCCAGGUUGACCUCGGAUCAGGUAGGGAUACCCGCUGAACUUAAGC
rnacentral:misc_RNA from 1 species